AAGUCGAGGGGCAGCAGGAGCUUCGGCUCGCUGGCGACCGGCGAACGGGUGAGUAUAACAUACGUAAUCUGCCUCGUACUGGGAGAUAGCCUCGGGAAACUGUAGAGUAAUAUCCCAUAUUAUUUUAGCAAUAAGAUGAAAGCUCCGGCGGUACGAGAUGAGCGUAUGCUCUAUUAGCUAGUUGGUGGGGUAAUAGCCUACCAAGGCCACGAUAGAUAGGGGGUCUGAGAGGAUGAUCCCCCACAUGGGCACUGAGACACGGGCCUAACUCCUACGGGAGGCAGCAGUGAGGAAUAUUGGUCAAUGGGCGCAAGCCUGAACCAGCCAUGCCGCGUGCAGGAAUGAAGGUCUAAGGAUUGUAAACUGCUUUUGUAUGAGAACAAGGUGUGGCCUGCGGGCCACAAUUGAGGGUAUCAUGCGAAUAAGUACCGGCUAACUCCGUGCCAGCAGCCGCGGUAAUACGGAGGGUACAAACGUUAUCCGGAUUUACUGGGUUUAAAGGGUGCGUAGGCGGCAUAUUAAGUCGGUGGUGAAAGCCUGGUGCUCAACGCCAGAACGGCCAUCGAUACUGAUACGCUAGAGUAAAGAAGAGGUAAGUAGAAUUUGCAGUGUAGCGGUGAAAUGCGUAGAUAUUGCAAGGAAUUCCGAUAGCGAAGGCAGCUUACUGGUCUUUUACUGACGCUGAGGCACGAAAGCGUGGGGAGCGAACAGGAUUAGAUACCCUAGUAGUCCACGCCGCAAACGAUGAUCACUAGAUGUAUGCCCCUCGGGGUGUGUGUCUCAAGCGAAAGCAUUAAGUGAUCCACCUGGGGAGUACGCCCGCAAGGGUGAACUCAAAGGAAUUGACGGGGGUCCGCACAGGCGGUGGAGCAUGUGGUUUAAUUCGAUGAUACGCGAGGAAACCUUACCUGGGCUAGAAUGCCUCUGACACUCUAGAAAUAGAGCCUCCCUUCGGGGCAGAGUGCAAGGUGCUGCAU
rnacentral:rRNA from 1 species